ensembl:lncRNA
UGUGUGUGUGUGUGUGUGUGUGUGUAAAAUGAAGUAUGUUCUAUGUAUGUAUAAUAAAGUAUUCAAGAGGCUCAACCUCACUUACACAAAGUCAAAAAGUCUUGUUAUUCCAGAAGACGCAGGUUCCAUAUCUGGCACCAAAGUGUCAUCCACCCAGCUAGCACUGCGCCUGGUAGACCCGUACUGCCAGGACCCUGAUCCCUAGAUAAAUGCGUUUUGUAGACCAAAAAAAAAAAAACCUGAGUGAGCUUUUGUUAUUAUCAUACUUCAUCAAUUAUGUAAAUGACGUCCCGCUGUGAGAGAAGUGAAACCGCGCUGCGUUCAGGGUCCACUCCAAAAUGCAUGUAAAUGAUCUUGCUGCAGGGCGGUGGAUGACCUCCGCCUCGUCCUCCUGCCUGCCCACCCGUCCGUGAUGGGGGGGGGUUGUGGUCCCGCCCCCCCGCGUCCUCCCCAGCACAGCGCUCCGUUAACGGCUGACAGAGCGGCGCAGAGGGGAGACAAUUAAACGAGGAGGAAGUCUUCUCGUUGUAUCAGCACAGUUUGCCCGGGACAACAUACCGCCAAAUGAAACACCCUCCGUGACGAGCAGUGGUGGAUUUUGAAAUGCUACGGGAAAAUCAGCAGGCCCUGCUGAAUCAUAUUCGCUGAGGUUCCUGUGUCUGGCGAUGACAGGUUCCUGUGGGCGUAAAGAGGAUAGGGCGGAACCAACAUGGCCAAGCAGUAACCUCAGAUCACUGAAAUGGAAUUCCAAAUGGCAACCUAUUUCCUGGCCCCUGACAACACUUUCCACGUGAUCUGGUAAAGGGAUAUUUACUCUCUGGUAAACUGGCCCUUCGCUGCACACAUGACACCAGAAUCACUGGGACCAGCUUGGCUACAGGACUCUCCUUUGGCUCUCGUUAUUUUCAGUUCUUUGGAGCCGACCAGCGCAAUGGACUCCAUAAGACUGCAAAAAACCUGACACUCGUCACUCCAUUCUCCUUUAAAAAACAGUUUGAGCUGCAAUCUGAUCACUGUACCUGGUAAGCGCCUGACACCAAGUGUGAAUACACCACAUGUCUCAUCUCAUAUAAUGAACACCAACUUAUGCACCUUAUCUUUGAGUACGCAAGUAUCACCACACGUGACGUAAUGGGUUAAAUGUAAUCAUCUGAAUUAGCUCCCCACAUUGUUCUGUAACUUUGUUGGCAUGCACUCUUCUCUCUCUCCUCCCCAUUGUAAUACACUAUUCCAGACUUUAUGUGGACCCC